rnacentral:rRNA from 1 species
UACGGAGGAUGCGAGCGUUAUCCGGAUUUAUUGGGUUUAAAGGGUGCGCAGGCGGCGUGUCAAGUCAGCGGUAAAAUGUCGGGGCUCAACCCCGGCCGGCCGUUGAAACUGGCGUGCUCGAGUUGGAGAGAAGUAUGCGGAAUUCGUGGUGUAGCGGUGAAAUGCAUAGAUAUCACGCAGAACUCCGAUCGCGAAGGCAGCCUACCGGCGCGCAACUGACGCUCAUGCACGAAAGCGUGGGGAGCGAACAGG